AAUAUUGGACAAUGGGGGAAACCCUGAUCCAGCAAUGCCAUGUGUGUGAAGAAGGCCUGCGGGUUGUAAAGCACUUUCAGUGGGGAAGAGGGGUGUUGAGUUGAAUAGGCUCGAUGCUUGACGUUACCCACAGAAGAAGCACCGGCUAACUCCGUGCCAGCAGCCGCGGUAAUACGGAGGGUGCGAGCGUUAAUCGGAAUUACUGGGCGUAAAGCGCGCGUAGCGGCUGAGUAAGUCAGAUGUGAAAGCCCCGGGCUCAACCUGGGAAUGGCAUUUGAGACUGCUCGACUAGAGUCUGUCAGAGGGUGGCGGAAUUCCGGGUGUAGCGGUGAAAUGCGUAGAUAUCCGGAGGAACAUCAGUGGCGAAGGCGGCCACCUGGGGCAAGACUGACGCUGAGGGGCGAAAGCGUGGGGAGCGAACAGGAUUAGAUACCCUGGUAGUCCACGCUGUA
rnacentral:rRNA from 1 species